rnacentral:rRNA from 1 species
AGAAUCAACGCUGGCGGCGUGCCUAACACAUGCAAGUCGAACGAGAAAGGGGAGCAAUCCCUGAGUAAAGUGGCGCACGGGUGAGUAACACGUGACUAACCUACCCUGGAGUGGGGGAUAACUGAGGGAAACCUUAGCUAAUACCGCAUAACACCUACGGGUCAAAGGAGCAAUUCGCUUUGGGAGGGGGUCGCGGCCGAUUAGUUAGUUGGCGGGGUAAUGGCCCACCAAGACAGUGAUCGGUAUCCGGCCUGAGAGGGCGCACGGACACACUGGAACUGAAACACGGUCCAGACUCCUACGGGAGGCAGCAGUGGGGAAUUUUGCGCAAUGGGGAAACCCUGACGCAGCAACGCCGCGUGGAGGAUGAAGUACUUCGGUACGUAAACUCCUUUCGAUCGGGACGAUAAUGACGGUACCGGAAGAAGAAGCCCGGCUAACUUCGCGCCAGCAGCCGC